UAGGGUUAGAACGACUAACUUAACCUUAGAAAUUUAUAAAUAAUGACCUCGUUUUUUCUAUUCCUCUCUACUUAAAUACUAGACAAAGUUCGUUUGAUAUAUAACUUAACUUGUAACAUAAGUCUCAAAUAUAUUAACAUUUGCCAAUUGUGCUAAACCCUAAUGGGGUGGGGUGUAUCUAACUAAUUUGAUGGAUAUGCGAAAUAAUUGAGGUACAAACAAGGUAACACGAAUAUCAGAAUCAUCUAAAAACAUAUCUAUUAAAUUGAAAGAUUUUAGAAAUGUGAUAGGUCUCAAGCUCGCGUUCGAUCACAGUUUUUUUGAAAAAAUUAUUUUAAAAUAUUUGUUUCUCCAUGAAAUUUAAUCAGGUUUUGAAUAUCUAGUCAGACUUCCACAUACAGAACUUCAAUCUUUCACCAAAACAUCCAAAUACAAUUUCAAAAAAAGAUAAACUCAAAUUUUCAAAUUUCAAGUUUCAACUUCAGAAUCAUACGAUCUCCGAAUCUUUUGCUUAGCUUAACUUGUUGGGAACUAAAAGAGGUGUGGGGUUUUAUUAGUGUCAAUCAAUGUCUAGCCCAUGCCCAAAUAACACAGCACAAAGCUAACACUAUUGGCUUCAUUAUGUUUGUUUAAUAAGACAGAUAGUCACACUGUGUUUGGAAUAGACAUAUACAAACUCACAAGGCACAAGGGAUUUCUCUUUCAAUGUCCUUAAAUUGUCUCUUUAACCCUCUUUUCCCCCUCUUCUUUCUCACUUCCUAUAACACCUAAUUCCCUCAUAGACUUAUAGUGAGUACCUACCAACACAUAAAUUUUAAGGAUAGGACAACUUUGCUCAUCAAACAUACAAACAAACAAACUAAGAAGUUUCACUAAAAGGGUGUUUGAGGAAGGGUAAAAAGUCUCUUCAUUCUUGAUAAGAAGUCUCGAGUUUAAAUCUUGUAAUGAAGUAAAGAUCUCUCCAUUCUUCACCAGAAGUCUCGAGUUCAAAUCUUGAAAUAAAAACUUUUCUUUCUUGGAGGUAGGAGCAAAUAAGUGUUUCAUGUAAUGGUGUGUAGUGGAAUGACAACGAAGAAGUCUCGAGUUCGAAUCAUGAGGUUUUCUUUGGACUGAUUUUGGUGCUGACAAAAUUUGGUGGAAAAUUAUCAAACAGUUGGUGUGCAAUGAAGGUUCUUGUUGAUUUUGGUUCUGUAGAUUUCAAGAAAAUGUCAGAAAUGCAAAUGCAAGAAAAUACUUACUUUGUGGGGUUCAAAGUUGGAUUUUUUCUGCUUGAAAUGGAUUUUUCCGGCAGUUUUUUCAUCAGUUCUUGAUUUUCCGGUGGAUUGACGGUGGUGAUAUUGGCGGGGACGGCUCAAUCUUUUCUCUCUGAAAAAAUGGUACUUUUGUAUAUCAUUUUGAUCUUAAUUUUCAUUUUAUUUUUCUACAAUUAAUUUUGGUUUUUUUAUUUUUAAUGUUAUUUUUGUUGUAGAAAAUUUGGAAUUAAUUGUAUUAUUAGUAUUAUCUUUUGGAAGAAAGAAAAAUACAAUUAUAUAGGAUUUAUGCAUAUUAUUACUUGAUUUAAUUGCUAAAUAAUAAUCUUGUUUUUGUCCCAAA